GUCUACGGCCAUGCCACCCUGAAUGCGCCCGAUCUCGGCUGACCCCGGAAGCUAAGCAUGGUCAGGCCUGGUUAGUACUUGGAUGGGAGGCCACCUUGGAAUACCAGGUGCUGUAGGCG
rnacentral:rRNA from 1 species